UAACCUCCUCCACCUCCCCAUAACCCUUCCCUCCAGCAAUCACCACACUGUUGUCUGUGUCAAUAAUAUUUAUUUAUUUAUCAUUUUUUCUAUAAUUCCAGUUUAUGCUGAGUAGCAUGGAAAAAAUUAAACAGAUUUUGUGGGAGCCUGACACAUUUCUUGAACAGUUAAGCAAUUUAAGACAAGUGAGGUCUGUGCUUAAUUACAAUUGAUCAGUGCACAGGUCAUUUGUACAUAUGUAUUCUCCAAGGGUGUCUACUUUGCCUGUCAUUUGGUUUGUUUGUUUUAAAUUUUAAAAAUUUGCUUAGGCUGCAGGUUAAUAUUUAAGUCAGGCUAACUUGUUUUUGCCCAUUAUACACUUCUGACUUAGUUCUGAUUGCCAAUUUGUCUUUAGCUGGAUACUAGGGCUGGCAAAGCUUACAGCAUCAAAUGACCCUUGAGUGGGGAUCAGGUUGUUUUUUGCUUUAUAAAGGAGGAAAAAAAGGGAAGAAAGGUACUAGCUGUGCUUUCCUUCAGUUUAUAGAAUGAGUUCUUUGUAAGGUUUUCUUGUACAUUGCCUUUUUUCAUAUAGGGAGCCCAGAGAGCUUGUAGCUUUCAUUAAGUCACUGGUAAGGAGUCGGUGAGUUCCCUGGGCAUGGAAUUCCUGAGGCUGGAUUUCUCAAGGCCUCAGUACAAACUUCCUUUUAGUGCUCACACUUCUUGGAGGAGGUGAGAAAGUUUGCAAAGUCUUGAAGGGGGUUGGAUCUAGGUUCUUCUCACCCAAAACUUUUCUUUCUUUCUUUCUUUUUUUUUUGUUCCCUCUUAAAAAGCAAAAAGUGCACAUUUCUUCUGCGGAGAGCUCCUUAGGCUGUUAAACAAAAGAAGGCAGAGGGGAACAUUCUCAGCUACAGAGGAACAUUUUCCUGACAUUUGUGAUGCUUGAUGAGGACUCAGAUGGACCCAAAAGCUUCUCCCAGCCACUGAAUUUGUUCACCGUUCUCUUCUCUGCCCCAGCUCUGAAUUUUCUGAUGCCAAAUAGAAGAGGGAUCAGAGUUGUUCUGUAUUUUGUCUGUUUUGCAGCACACCCCUCACUGCCCAGCUCUCCUGGAAGAUAAUGCUGCUGCUCUCUGUUCUGUGUCUCCCCUGGGUUAUGCUAAUGAUGCGGUGGGAUAGUUGCUGGUGAGUGGUGGUCCAGUGCUUGAAACUGAGCAGGCUGUGAGGUGCCUGCUGGAGUGUGGAUCCCAGCCCUUCCUCUUCUAGCUGUGGGAACCUUGGGCAAGUCAUUUCACCCCUCUCUGCCUCUAUCCCUCACCUGGGAAUUCAUAUACUUGCUUUCACAAUGUGAUGACAGUUAAAUGAGCUAAGUGCUCAGAGUCAUACUAGUGUGUUCAAUGGUAAUUGUUCAAUAAAUGCUUUUAUAUAGCUCCCUCAGA